UAGGGAAUCUUCGGCAAUGGACGAAAGUCUGACCGAGCAACGCCGCGUGAGUGAAGAAGGUUUUCGGAUCGUAAAACUCUGUUGUUAGAGAAGAACAAGGACGUUAGUAACUGAACGUCCCCUGACGGUAUCUAACCAGAAAGCCACGGCUAACUACGUGCCAGCAGCCGCGGUAAUACGUAGGUGGCAAGCGUUGUCCGGAUUUAUUGGGCGUAAAGCGAGCGCAGGCGGUUUCUUAAGUCUGAUGUGAAAGCCCCCGGCUCAACCGGGGAGGGUAAUUGGAAACUGGGAGACUUGAGUGCAGAAGAGGAGAGUGGAAUUCCAUGUGUAGCGGUGAAAUGCGUAGAUAUAGGAAGGAACACCAGUGGCGAAGGCGACCACCUGGGCUCAUACUGACACUGAGGUGCGAAAGCGUGGGGAGCAAACAGG
rnacentral:rRNA from 1 species